UGUGAGUAAAUACUACGGUCUAGCCUUCGA
rnacentral:piRNA from 1 species